rnacentral:tRNA from 1 species
GGAGAGGUGGCUGAGUGGUUGAAAGCACCGGUUUCGAAAACCGGCAUACCGCAAGGUAUCGGGAGUUCGAAUCUCCCCCUCUCCG